AUACGGAGGGUGCAAGCGUUACUCGGAAUCACUGGGCGUAAAGCGCGCGCAGGCGGCUAUUUAAGUUGGAUGUGAAAGCCUACGGCUCAACCGUAGAACUGCAUCCAAAACUAUUUAGCUAGAGUGUGGGAGAGGAAGAUGGAAUUAGUUGUGUAGGGGUAAAAUCCGUAGAGAUAACUAGGAAUACCAAAAGCGAAGGCAAUCUUCUGGAACACUACUGACGCUGAGGCAUGAAAGCGUGGGGAGCAAACAGGAUUAGAAACCCUAGUAGUCC
rnacentral:rRNA from 1 species